UUCAGCCCAGCCUCUGUUCCGCCCGUGCGCUCUGUUCUGAAACAUCUGCAUCAGCGCGCAACAUCUGUUCUUGCAAACAGAGGGCCACGUGACCGCAAUUUGGAAUACAGGAAUAUUAGGAGAAUUGUGUAUGGAAGGAAAAUUUCAGGUUUCCCGGUUAUUAUCUAUGGUAUCCUUUUUAAGUAGCACCAACUUCCUUUCCCAUUUUGGUAAAGACACAGAAUGUAAAUAACUAUCCCAACAGUCACUUUCUUACAAUGACAUGAAGAAAAGUCUUAUGUAAAAUUAAUGAAACAGACUGUGGACAAAACUUUCAACUGAGUCUGAUUUUCUUCCUGAGAGAUUAUUAUAAAUUCUUUUGCUUAGCAACAGCGAAAAGAGGCACAGAUGGAAUUACCACUUACCCACUCAUUUACGCAUUUGUUUCAAGCCCACAGCAAUGAAAAACGGGGAGGGGAAGGGCCCCCAGAUUUAAUGUGCAAAUAAAGACAGGAAAAGAUAUCAAAAGUAUUUUUAAAUGCAAGGUCAUAAUACCUUCGGCAGUCAGGAAUGAAAUACAUAGCAUUUUUGAAGGAGAUCCAGCUCUUAAAUUCUUACUAAAUAAACGCAUGGAGCAAGUGAGGCAGUGACAGCCAACUGGGUAACAGACUCCCGCUGCUUACGCUACACAGGCCACUGGCUCCUCGGGUGCCCUGGGACGUGUAAAAAGAUCGGCACUUCAAACAACCUGCAUUUCUCAACGCCGUCCUUGCUGCUUACGUUCAGAUUAAGAGUUUAAAAGGCCUGACACUCAGCAGGGUUGGGGUGGGUGUGCUGAGUUCCCCCUUCCAAAAACAGAAAGCAAGAUAUAUUCUAUAACAACACGAAGAGCAUGAGACACCCAUUUCGCCACACUCUGGGGGGAAAUGAGAUGAUAUUCGGACUCACAAUUUGGUUACUAUCCGAACAACCAUAAUGUUUAGACAAUGUAGAGAUUGCCUUUGUUCUCACAAUCAUUCUGCUGUCUCAUUUGGCUUUCUGGUGAAAUG